rnacentral:rRNA from 1 species
CACGUAGGGGGCGAGCGUUGUCCGGAUUUAUUGGGCGUAAAGAGCUCGUAGGCGGUUUGGCAAGUCGGGUGUGAAAUUUCGAGGCUCAACCUCGAAACGCCACUCGAUACUGCCAUGACUGGAGUCCGGUAGGGGAGCGUGGAAUUCCUGGUGUAGCGGUGAAAUGCGCAGAUAUCAGGAGGAACACCAGCGGCGAAGGCGGCGCUCUGGGCCGGAACUGACGCUGAGGAGCGAAAGCGUGGGUAGCAAACAGG